CGGGAGCUGGAGCUGUUGCAGCCUCUGCGCAGACACACCUCCUGGUCUCUGCACCCGUCGCCAGUCGCCAUCCGGGCCUUCCAGGACUCCAUCUGCAUCCCUGGGGAAUGAUUAGCGUGAUCCUGAGAGGGAAAUCGCAUGCUGCUCCAUCAUUACUAGAAUGGAUGUGCACUGGGCUUAACAGUACCUGUUUGUUGAGCCUCACCUGACUUUCGCUGCUCGAUGACACCGAUCCAACCGCACCCGUGAUGAACGGCAGGUCUGCGUGUGAUACUUCAUCAGCAGGCACAUCGCUGGUUUGUUUUUGAUAUUCCUUCCCUGGGUCCUCUGUUAGGUUUCCUAGCAACAGGUCUGCUGAGGGCUAACCGGUGGGGGUACAGCAGUGUCCCCAUCAUGAUUGCUCUUUAAUUACUUUAAUGGAACCGCGGCUCUCUGGGUCGGCACCCCCAGCCCCUGGACAUCACAGUGCCCACAGAUCAGCAGCCAACACAAUAUCUCACAAUAUAUGGACCUUUGCCUCCAUACUGUACGUCGCUGCAGACUAAAUCAUUUGGUGAGGAGACCGGCAGAGAUGCAGAAGGAACGAGACAGAGAGAGCGACACUGGCAAUGUGGCAUCAGCUGCACCUCACACGUACCCAGAUGGCCUGUGAGUCUGCACCGAGGCCUCAGGCUGCACUUCUACAAGAGCUUAGAGAGCUGUCACGGAGGGAUUCAUCACAGCUCCUUAAGUAAAUGCUCUUCUUAUUGAGCCUUGUGUAAUAAAGAAGCAGUGAUCAUAUUUACCACAAUUUGGAGCCUUGCUGUGUUUGUUAAGGGUAGAUAACAACAGAAUACGAUUAAACAGUCAGUGGGACCUCUUCACCUAAACAUUUCUCAGCCUCAAAGUCAGGUUUUCUCCUCCAGUGAUGCUGAUGUUUGCCUCCAAUAAUCUCAAUCUUUGCUUCAUGUGUUACUACCCUAAACGCUGCGUGACUAGUCUUCAUCGCGGCCCGUGAAGGCUGCGUCGCCCGCUCCUCCCUAUCAUCGCUCCACAGCUGCAUUCGCACGCUCACGUCAUCUGUCUUCAUUGCAGGGGCCUGGGAGGCAGCUGCUAGUGCUGCAUUAGGAUGAAAGAUUGGCCUCCGCUACGUCCUGCUCCCUACAUGAGGUCCCACAUCAACAAGUGGAUGAGUGGCCCCUGUCCUGUUGUUCUCCCUCAGUCGCGAGGCCAUUCUCAUGAGUGGCUCCAAUUCAUGUGAACACAAACAGUCCAGUCUUUGUCUGGUGUAAAGAAGGAGAUAGCAUCUGCACAUGCAGGCAGGUGUUUAUGCAUGCUCAACAGUUAUUGUACACAGGCUAUUUAUAGAGAACUACACAGAGAGCAACACAAGUGUGAUAUGUCGUCCUCCGCAGGAGUCUGGGUGAUGUAUGGCAGCGGCCAUGGGAGCCCGGAGGCUGCACAGACACUUGUUAUGGAGUGGAGAGAGCCUGUGUGCUGCUGCUGAGAGAGAGAGAGAGAGAGAGAGAGAGAGAGAGAGAGAGAGAGAGAGAGAGAGAGAGAGAGAGAGAGAGAUUUAUGGUGUUUUAGGCUGAUUGUGCUGCUCUGUAAUGAACUCAUUACGAUCCGGCGAGGACGGACUUUCCUCUCACACAGAAAACGAGACUGCGUGGACACGUCAGUAGAAAUGGAGGCACACGUCUGCUGAAGUUCCAGAAUUUAAUUCACAAUCACAAACUAAAAAAGAAUAAUUUAUAGGAGGAAUUUGACUACAAUUAUGAAACAGAAAAAGUCAGAUAUAUGGAUCAGUUCAGAGUUGUUGGUGGAGAUGAACUAACGACUCUUCACCUGCUCCAACUCUUUAAGCGUGACAUCACCUCUAAUGCUUCAGAAAUCUAAUUUUGCAGAGGGAUGUGGUUCUGCGCUGCAAUUUGUCAUCAUCAGACCCUGGCUCAUUAUGACAUUUCCGGUGGGUGGUCCAACACACACACACACACACACACACACACACACACACACACACACACACACACACACACACACACACACACACACACACACACAGUACUAUUACAGGCCUUAUGGAAACCCGUAGUCAUCUUAUUUACAGUACUUCCCAUACAAAAUAUUGUAUGGGACUAUAUUUAUACAGUACAUUUAAACAUGUUAUAACAGAAUAUUACCACAUUAACUGUAUUAUUUCAUCUUACAGUAUCUCUUAUACCUUGUUGUUUUUUUAGCCCAUGCUAGAACUACAGGGAAAGUCCAAAUGGUUUCACACAUUUUUCGAUGACAUUUGAAGCUUAUUUAAUCUGAUAAAAUAGGUCUGAUGACAUCAUUAU